rnacentral:rRNA from 1 species
UACGUAGGGUGCAAGCGUUAAUCGGAAUUACUGGGCGUAAAGCGUGCGCAGGCGGCUAUGCAAGACAGAUGUGAAAUCCCCGGGCUCAACCUGGGAACUGCAUUUGUGACUGCAUGGCUAGAGUACGGUAGAGGGGAUGGAAUUCCGCGUGUAGCAGUGAAAUGCGUAGAUAUGCGGAGGAACACCGAUGGCGAAGGCAAUCCCUGGACCUGUACUGACGCUCAUGCACGAAAGCGUGGGAGCAAACAGG